GACGAACGCUGGCGGCGUGCUUAACACAUGCAAGUCGAACGGAAAGGCCCUGCUUGCAGGGUACUCGAGUGGCGAACGGGUGAGUAACACGUGGGUGAUCUGCCCUGCACUUCGGGAUAAGCUUGGGAAACUGGGUCUAAUACCGGAUAGGAGCCAUCUUUAGUGUGGUGGUUGGAAAGUUUUUUCGGUGUAGGAUGAGCUCGCGGCCUAUCAGCUUGUUGGUGGGGUAAUGGCCUACCAAGGCGGCGACGGGUAGCCGGCCUGAGAGGGUGUACGGCCACAUUGGGACUGAGAUACGGCCCAGACUCCUACGGGAGGCAGCAGUGGGGAAUAUUGCGCAAUGGGCGCAAGCCUGAUGCAGCGACGCCGCGUGGGGGAUGAAGGCCUUCGGGUUGUAAACUCCUUUCGCUAGGGACGAAGCUUUGUGUGACGGUACCUAGAUAAGAAGCACCGGCUAACUACGUG
rnacentral:rRNA from 1 species